AGCGAACGCUGGCGGCAGGCCUAACACAUGCAAGUCGAACGAACUCUUCGGAGUUAGUGGCGGACGGGUGAGUAACACGUGGGAACGUGCCGUUAGGUUCGGAAUAACUCAGGGAAACUUGUGCUAAUACCGAAUGUGCCCUGCGGGGGAAAGAUUUAUCGCCUUUAGAGCGGCCCGCGUCUGAUUAGCUAGUUGGUGAGGUAAAGGCUCACCAAGGCGACGAUCAGUAGCUGGUCUGAGAGGAUGAUCAGCCACAUUGGGACUGAGACACGGCCCAAACUCCUACGGGAGGCAGCAGUGGGGAAUCUUGCGCAAUGGGCGAAAGCCUGACGCAGCCAUGCCGCGUGAAUGAUGAAGGUCUUAGGAUUGUAAAAUUCUUUCACCGGGGACGAUACUGACGGUACCCGGAGAAGAAGCCCCGGCUAACUUCGUG
rnacentral:rRNA from 1 species